UACGUAGGGCGCAAGCGUUGUCCGGAAUUAUUGGGCGUAAAGAGCUCGUAGGCGGUUUGUUGCGUCGGCUGUGAAAUCCCGAGGCUCAACCUCGGGUCUGCAGUCGAUACGAGCAAACUAGAGUGUUGCAGGGGAGACUGGAAUUCCUGGUGUAGCGGUGAAAUGCGCAGAUAUCAGGAGGAACACCGGUGGCGAAGGCGGGUCUCUGGGCAACAACUGACGCUGAGGAGCGAAAGCGUGGGGAGCAAACAGG
rnacentral:rRNA from 1 species